rnacentral:rRNA from 1 species
UACGAAGGGGGCUAGCGUUGCUCGGAAUUACUGGGCGUAAAGCGCACGUAGGCGGUCUUUUUAAGUCGGGGGUGAAAUCCUGGAGCUCAACUCCAGAACUGCCUUCGAUACUGGCGAUCUUGAGUCCGGAAGAGGUGAGUGGAACUCCUAGUGUAGAGGUGGAAUUCGUAGAUAUUAGGAAGAACACCAGUGGCGAAGGCGGCUCACUGGUCCGGUACUGACGCUGAGGUGCGAAAGCGUGGGGAGCAAACAGGG